AAUCAGAGAAUAAUUGGGGAACAAAAAACACAACAUCAAGACGGGAGAUUCUCAGAGUAAGGAUUGCAGUCACAUUUGGGGGCACCGAACACAGCAUUUGAAUCAUACAAGGAUAAUCUUUACAUUAUGCCUCCAGAGGGGAGAGAUGAAGGAAGGAAAAAAGAAAGGAAGAGUCAUGAAGACAAGGGCAUCAUAAAAGGGAAUAGGUAGCUGGACUGUUCUCUUCUCAUCUUGCUUUUGUUGUCAGGAGCUGACAUUAGUCAGAGGAUAAACUGGAACCUUUAGAAAGGCAGAGAUGAGGGAGGUACAGAGGAAAGAGCUGGGACCCCUGGACUGAGGGUCUCUGAACAUGUCUCUGCUGGGCUUACUCUCUGAGUUAGCAGCUACAUUAAGCUAAUUGGAGUUGAAGUCUGUUACUUGUAGUUCAGAGUAUCCUAACCAAUAUAAUUCUAUCGUAAUUACUCUCUUGUCUCAGAAAAGGAAAUAUUAAAGUGAAUGUUGGUUUUCUGCAUUUCUAUUGGUAUUAUUGUCAAGCUAAUUAUAAAUAUCUUCAUUUUUAGGGGGAGAGAUUUUAUAUCACUGUAACUAUUAUGAGAACACGCAUGCUUGUCUGUGUUUGGGUGUGCAUACAUGUGUGUGCACUUGUCAGUAAUAUUAAUACCCUUCGUUUCUAGUGAAAGAUCCUGAUUGUGUUUCCACGUUAGCUAACCAACUAUACUCUGCAGCUAAAGCAAUGCCAAAUACCACCAUUCACAAAGAAGUUGUUCUCUGACCUCCACUUCUGCUAUGGAGAUAGCUUGUUCCCACGCAUAUGUAAGGAAAGAAAGAAAAACAAGCUUUAAACAAAUUAAAUUUAAUAGUGUUUAUGAGCCCAGAAUGAUUCAUGAGUCAGGUGGACCCCAGAAUAGGAUAGGUUCAGUGAUGCUCCAGGGCUACCACACGGCUGGAUAGCAGUUACAGGUCAGGGCAAAUGAGAUAGGGAGAAAGAAGCCCUCUUAACUACAACUUGGCAUUUGCCUUAUUUUGAACCUGGUUUGACUAAAGCUUGGCUGAUGGGAUUGACUGAGACCAUUUUUUCCUUAUAAGGCAAAUCACUGAGGUAGCCUAGUGCUGAGUGAAGUUGGAUUUUCCUGUCUCUGGAGCAUCUGAGAAUGGAGGCUUUCUCAAGCCACAUUUGGUUGGGGUUAAGGAGGUCAAGCACAUUUCACAGAUCCACUGUCUCUCCAUUUUGAAGCACGCACGCACCUCAGUGCUGGGUGAUGUCUUCCUGAUUUGUGAGGUACUCAGCAGAACUUGCAAAUCUGAAGUCUCACUUCUCACCCUCCAGUCCUCCUCGCCACUCCUAUUAGUGGGUUUUAUUUCUGUGAUGUGGCUCACUAGUUAAGAGCACACACUCUUCCAGGGGACUUGGGUUCUUUCCUUUCUUUUCUUGUUUUCUUGUUUUCUUUUCUUGUUGUUUUUGUUUGUUUGUUUGUUUGUUUGUUUCUGAGACAGGGUCUCUCUACAUAUAGCCCUGGCUCUCCAGGAACUCAUCAUGUAGACCAGGCUGGCCUUGAACUCAGAGGUUCACCUGCCUCAGCCUCCCAAGUGCCAUAACAUUUUUGAAUGUUAGUUUUAGGAAACACUUACUGAAUGCCUACUGAGUGUUAGGCAUUGUUCUUUAUGUGGGAGCUAGAAAGAGCUAAAGACUGGAAGAAGGAUUUUUUGUUUUGUUUUAAUUUAUUGUACACUUGAGCUUUAUGUGGCGUGCGCACACACACACACACACACACACACACACACACACACACACACCAUGUCCAUGUAUGGACGUCAAAGGGCAGCUUUAAGGAAUUCUCUCUUCCACUGUGGGAUCCCGGAUUGAACUCAGGCUGCCAAGUACUUUUUUUUUUUUUAACCAAUUUGAGUCACAUUGCCUGGCAAAAGAGGAUCUCUAUGGGUCAUUGUUAUACUGGAUUUGGGGGUAUUUUAAAAAGUCAAAUGACAAUAAAGACUGGUGUCUACACCUGAAACAAGUGAGGGCAGACACAGGUGCUAUGGGAUGCUUGCAGCACUAGUCACACUACUAAGUUUUGCUUACAGUUCCAACUGCUCCUGCAAAGCCAACUACCAGAGAGGAGGAAACAGGAGGCGUGUAACCUGGGAACACUGGUAUCAGAUUGUAUUGCUCACAGUCCAGGGCCAUUAGUGAGAGAGGAGAAUGAUUAAGAGGCUAGUUUGUUAGAUCGGCUUGGGUGGGAUUUUUGUGUGUUUCCAAAUGCAGAAAGCUAAGAAGGCUCCCGCAUGGAAAAGUACCACAGAGGGAAGAGGGUGAAAUCCAGUUGGUUUAUGCAUAUGCAUUACUGAAAGCAGGAGCUGGGAAACGGUCCUUUUGGGUGCUUUCCACCUCCCUGUGAAGAAAUAUUAUACAUGGCUGCAUGAUACCCCUCCACACUCCAAAUGCUGCAGUUACUGUUCAAGACCAUUUAUAGGACACAGUUUAUAAAUGUUCUUGAAAAGUAUUGGAAACUGAGUUUAGUGUAAAAGGUAAAAGAGUGGGAAAAAAAACUAAAUACAGCUGAGUGGCCAGAGGAGGGCGAUUUAGUGCAUUGCUGCCCAGUUGUAUUUAUCUCUGAUCCCUACAGAAGCCCUUCCUCGUUCCUGGGGCUGGGGCUAUAGCUCAGUUGGUAGAGUGCUUGCCUGUAGAAAGUCCUUGCUUCCCUGGCACUGCAUAAACAGGGGUGGUGGAGUGGUGGUGCAUGUGUGCAGUUUCAGCACUGGGAAGGGAGAGGCAGAAAAGUCAAUUCAGGGUCAUCUUCAGCUCCACAGUGACCUGAAACCAGCUUUAGCUAAUGACACCUUGUCUCAAAAGUAAAAAUGAAAAUAAAGCCUGCUUCCCAAUUAAUGAUAAAGCAUGCUACUGAGACAAGGACUGUGCACUGCUGUGUGGUAGAGUCCUAAGUAAGUUUUGAUUGUCACGGCUUGCGGAUGCAUAGGUGAAGAGAUGUCCAACUUUUGAAGUGCCAAAGUCCUAAAUGCUUUCCCUUUCUUGUCACCCUUUGGGCUUGCUGGGCUUUGGAUUCAGUUUCAAAUUACUCAGGGAGCUUUGAAAAUCACCAGCUAACCAGACUAACCAGCUAAGUCAGUCUCAGGAUUAGGGAGGAGGAAGGCCUAGUCAAGAGAGUUGUUGUUGUUGUUCUCUCUGGAAUUCCAAAAUGUGGCCAGGGCUAAAAAGCAUUUUAGCCAUUUCAGUUCUAGGCAGUAACUCUCAGGGAACAUUAAUUGAGAUGUAUAUGGAGUCCCUGCUAACUGUAUAAAAUAGAAUCAGCUUUCCCUCCCUGGACAUCAAAUGGGCAGAGUCUCAUUUUCUUUUUCCUAAGUGGGCAGGUUCUAACAAAAUAAAUGAAGGGAGGGGAAGAAAAUUGUUUUAAAGAGUCUCUACAGUCUUCUGUAGGGAAGGUUGGGGCACUAGGACUGAAAAUAUUGUGUGUAUGUAUUUCAGGAAGGAGAAAAUAUGUUAUGUUCUCAGUCCUUCUGAAUUAUGUAACUCUGAAGGAUGUGGUCCAUUUGUGCCCAAAUAAUGAGGCCUGUAAUCCUGCACUUCACAUGUGUGGGAAUGCUUUGCAGAGUGACUAGCAUUCCUUUCUCCAGCCUGAAUUCAGAGGAAACAUGCCAUUCACACCCUCUGUGCGCUCACAUUUUCCAGUGCGUUGGAGAGCUUUUUUUUUUUUUCAAUAGAAAUCUUUGUUCCCUCCCUAAUAAGACUUGGAUUGAAUUUAAGGAACUUAGCAUAUCCUUUUUUGUUUUCUGGCAGGAAUUGAUUUUAAAAUCAGAACGAUAGAACUCGACGGAAAGAAAAUUAAACUUCAGAUAUGGUAAGU
rnacentral:lncRNA from 1 species